rnacentral:rRNA from 1 species
AAGCCUGAUCCAGCCAUGCCGCGUGAGUGAAGAAGGCCUUCGGGUUGUAAAGCUCUUUCGGUCGGGAAGAAAUAGUUGCGGCUAAUAUCUGCAACAAAUGACGGUACCGACAUAAGAAGCACCGGCUAACUACGUGCCAGCAGCCGCGGUAAUACGUAGGGUGCAAGCGUUAAUCGGAAUUAUUGGGCGUAAAGGGUGCGCAGGUCGUUAUAUAAGUCAGAUGUGAAAUCCCUGGGCUUAACCUAGGAAUUGCGUUUGAAACUAUAUAACUAGAGUGUGACAGAGGGGAGUGGAAUUCCAUGUGUAGCAGUGAAAUGCGUAGAGAUGUGGAAGAACACCGAUGGCGAAGGCAGCUCCCUGGGUUAACACUGACGCUCAUGCACGAAAGCGUGGGGAGCAAACAGGAUUAGAUACCCUGGUAGUCCACGCCCUAAACGAUGUCAACUAGUUGUCGGAUCUAUAUAAAGAUUAGGUAACGUAGCUAACGCGUGAAGUUGACCGCCUGGGAAGUACGGUCGCAAGAUUA